GAUGAACGCUAGCGGGAGGCUUAAUACAUGCAAGUCGAGCGAGAAGUAUGGUGCUUGCACUAUAUGGAAAGCGGCGCACGGGUGAGUAACGCGUACACGACCUACCUUUGAGAGGGGGAUAGCCUUUGGAAACGAAGAAUAAUACCCCAUAGUAUUACUGUAGUAAGUAUGGUAAUUAAAGUUCCGGCGCUCAAAGAUGGGUGUGCGUCCCAUUAGCUAGUUGGUAAGGUAACGGCUUACCAAGGCGACGAUGGGUAGGGGGCGUGAGAGCGUGGCCCCCCACACGGGUACUGAGACACGGACCCGACUCCUACGGGAGGCAGCAGUAAGGAAUAUUGGACAAUGGGCGCAAGCCUGAUCCAGCCAUCCCGCGUGUAGGAUGACUGCCCUAUGGGUUGUAAACUACUUUUACCAGGGAAGAAUAUUGGUCAUUUAUGAUCACUUGACGGUACCUGAGGAAUAAGCACCGGCUAACUCCG
rnacentral:rRNA from 1 species